UAAACUUGAUGCACCAGCAGAUGGUAGGUGGGGAGGCACCAGAAGGAUGCAAAGGAGAGAUGGCUUUAGCAGUGACAUUUCACGUGGAGCAGAGGGUUUGUGUGUCUGGCCCCUCAGAGAGGAGGGUAUUGCAGUGGAAUACUUGUGUGGAUGAGGGAGGAGGGAUAGCAUGGGAGAUGUUGAGGGUUUGGGACAGGAGCCAGCAGCUUAACCUUAAGAAAAUUAAGAUCUCAUUAAAAAUCAUGGAAAGGAGUGCAGUUUUGUAUUUGUAAUGUAUUUCCAAAGGCUUCUUCACAGACUGGGCUGAUCCCAGUCCUGGCUCUGAACACACCUGCAAUGGGGACUUUGACUCCAGUGCACAGACUCAAUCCCUCACAUGUAACAAGACCUGAAUUUUCUCAGGGCAUUUUCCUGUACAGCACUGUAGCCAGUACUGCUGUAACACUUCAGUGAAAAUGCUGCCGUGAGAAGCACUCCCAGCGGUGUAGUUAAUUCAGCUCCCCAGGAGGUGGUACCUAUGUAGAGAGGAGAAGCUCUCCUGUUGACAGCUGUCUACGUAUGGGGUGAGGUGGGGAGAACUACAUAGGUCAGAGGUGUGAAUUUUUUACAUCUCUGAGCGACGCACUUCUACCAACACAGGCCUGUAGUGUAGACCAGCCCUAAGUCAGACCUGCAUAAAGUGGGGGGAGGAAGAAAGAUAUCUCAGACCCUGAAUUAGAAUUUACCAUUUAUUUAGCAAAUUGCUGGGGCUCAGUUCUUCCCCCCUUUGCUCAGACUGAGAACUGACUUCCUUGGGGCGGAUGAGGUGGUUUGAUAAAGGAGUCUACGUAUGUGCAAUAGCCAUAUAAUCACCAAGACAGCUUAUUGGAAAAGAAUAUGCAAGUUGUGCUCAAUGCACCCAGCUACUUAAAGCACGGGUUCAGCUGGUGGGAUGGCAGAUGGCCUUUGUCACUCCUGCUAGCUCAGGCAUCCUGCAGCAGUUGUGUUCUUUCCCCUUUGGUUUGUAAUUUUUUUUAUCUCCAGGACUCAAGGAAAGUUUUGCUUGAAGGCUUCAGACUGUCUCAUUCCUAUGACUGCCUUGUCCUAACAAGGUGACCAGGAUCCCCCACACUGCUCCAAAGAAGGGAAGCAUGGGUGGACAGCUGCAGUUCUUCAUUUCUGCCUCCAUGGCACUGACAUGGAAAAUGUCACAAGGGGAUUUGUUUUGAAAGACUUUGUGAUGCAAAAACAGGAUUCUUAUGGAAACUAUUCUCUCAGCCUUAUCGUUAGAUAACAGGCCUUUGCUGAAAUCCACACAGGAGCUAGUCUGCCCUCUGGGCUCCUCAGUCAGACUACAUCCCGCAGAAUGCACCAUGGCCAGGGACUCUCAUGUUUCAAGAGAGGAGGCCACAGCACACGAUGGGAGAUUCCAUCUCACCUAUAGAGAAGAACAAGACCAUGAGGCACCACAGCAGCACUUCCAAAUCAAAAAAAUCUUGACCGAAUACCAAACCAUUUCAAUAUUCCCAUUUCUCCCUCAACGCUGACAUUUGCCACAGGAGAAGAAUUUUUUUGUUGACCAGCUCUAGUCUGCAGCAAGUUCUAUAGUGUUGUAGAUUACAAAAGGACAGAGUCUAAAUGAAUUGCCUGGACCAACUGCUAAACAUGACCUUGGGCAAGUAACUUCCCCUUCCCGUUCCUCAGUUUCUCCAUCUGCAAAAUGGGGAUAAUGAUCCAGAGCACCUCUGUAAAGCAUUUGGAAAGUUACAGAUAAAGAAUGCAGAGUAAGAGCUAGUUAUUAUUAAAACACAUUUUGGUUCUAGUCAACCACUUUUAAGCUUUGGAAGCCCCCAAAAUCAUUUGGCCCAGAUUCUCAGCCCUGCUUCUGCCCCUUUGCCCUGCUCAGGCAGGGCAAAGCAGCCUAAAAGCUGCUCUACAGAGCACUCCAAAGGACCCCGUGGCAUAGGGCAAUCUCUGGGUGGCAUAAAGUCAGCAUAUCUGGCUCUAUACCACCCACUACCCUUCCCCCGGUGUACGGAGAGUGACACUGAGUGGGAGGAAGCAGGGCUGGAUACAAUGCAUUCUUACCGAUCAUCACAGAGACAACCGCCCCUCCCCAGGGAGUCAGUGGGAGUUUUGCUGCAGUUAGACUGCAAGAUUUGGCUGUAGGUCAAUAACAGACUGAUGAAGCAUCUGUCCCCUCCACCCAGUCAAGAAAGGUACUACACAGAAUUUGUUUGUUUCACACGCACACAGGUAUGAGAAGCUGAAAGCUGACAAUUUCCCUCCAGAGUCUGGAAGAUUACAAGAUUUCAACAUCUUUAAAAAAGGAGAAACACAUUUUAUAUUAUUAAGCUUGAAUUCAGCGCUGUAUUUUUGUCAUUUGCAUUUUCUCUAAUGCAUCAAUAUGAGUUGUUUUGAGUCUUGCAAGAGCAACACAGAUGCUCUCAAUUGCCUUGUAAGCACUAAUGUUUGAAAAAGAAGGGCACAACUGAAUUUAAUCAGAGAAACAGGUGUCUGCUUGAAGCAAAAUUUAAGGUUGUACUAAUCUAAUUAUUUACUCUCUAGGCAGACGGCCCACCCUACCGAUUACUGGUAUUUCUGCUAGCUUUUUUAAGCUCGCUGCGUAUUUCAAAUCCUACUACAGCAAUCCACUCUCCAAUUAUAUUUGUAUUUCAAAGCCAUAUCCCCCUAAAGUUACAGCUGUUGCUACAAAAAAAAAUAAAAAUCCAAAGGCUUCUCCGAGGACCCGAGCAGCAGUAAUGAUGUAGCUGCUGUUAUCUAAUUAAAAAAAUAUUAAGGAACAAUUGUGCCCCAUAGUCAUUAGAACUACUGCGAAUAUUUCACUUAAAGGGAAAGGUUCUCCAAAGCCAGGGUUUUAUUUAGGAGUUUGACUGGCACACAACGCAGGUAAUUUAGGAGUAGGCCUACAUGUGGUAACCAUUCAUGGCCCAAAUGGGGUCUUU